rnacentral:lncRNA from 1 species
CCCUGAUGGAAGAACUACUAGCCCAACAAAACUGACCUGCUAGCCCUAGUAUGCCUUACAAAUUCAGAGUUUGCUGCAAUAACAAUGAAUUCUAUAAACUUUACAAUCUUUAGCCAUUCACGGCAUUGUACAGUAGAUUUUUGCAAAUUGGAUAUUCAAAACUUAUAUUAGCAAAAAAUAUUCCAUUAGCAUAUAUAUAUUCAAUUAAUCGAUAAUUGAAUAAUCACUGAAAAUUCUGAUAUAAUGAGUUGACCAAAUCCGGGGAUGAUACAAGUCUUGAUCACUGCUAUACGUGGGUAUGUAAAAGGAUCGGAGGGGGUUUUAUCAGAUACAAUAGCAUCAUCACGUUUGUGUAAAAGAAUUAUCAGCACAUGUUUCAAAUGUAUAUCUGAUAAAAGUCAGGUUUCUGCUGUCAAAAGGGAUUCACAUUUAUAUUGAAAUAAAUUAAUCAGAAGGAGGUAAAAUCAGGUUGCAUAAGCAAUGUACAAUACCACCCCCUGUACUGACACAUCGAUAUUGAAAGUACAAGAUCUACCCAGAGUUAUUUGUUCUAUUUUAAAAGUUGUACAAAAUCAGUUCAAAUUCUGGGAAUCCCGGAUGACGUAGUUGAAUCUGAUUGGAUAAGAUAGAAAAGUGAUGAGGGGAUUUUCCCCUUUCAAUUUUAGAAACGCCAAGAAUUUUUUGUUACUAGUCCGUCGGGCAUUUUUGGUUACAAGUCUUGGUUGCUCGAGGUCUAAAUGUUGUAGUCCCGGGCGUCGGGCUAGUGGAUUUCUUAACCCCUG